UUUGCUUGGUUGCCUAGGAUUUAGUUCCAAAGGUUAUGGCGCCCUUAGUGGAUUCACUAGAACUUUGAAUCCUGUUUCAUCGAGGUAAAAUUAAAAUUAAAAGAUUAUCUGUAUAGAUCUCGCACUAGAGAAUAUUACUUUAUUAGUUUGUGUAAUCCGAAUGGCUUUGUUAAUGCUUAUUUACGGUAAUAGAAGCUUUAAUUUAUUAAAAUGGCCAUUUUAUUAUUUGCUUCUUUAUUUACUUGUGAUUCUUAAAAACAUUAAUUAAUGCUAUAUGAUGGAUCUCAAAGCCAGGCAACAAUGGUGGCAAUUUAAAUAUCGAUAUCAAAUACUACAUGUAUCAAAAAGAAGUUAAAAAUAUAUUUCGAAGCCAUUUAUUUCCCAUUAAAUGUCAGUUGGAUAUGAAGUUCAGUUCAUAUAGAUCAUAUGCUGUAGAUUAUUGUGAAUCCAGUGACAAUAUGUUCUUGUGGAGAGUUUAUCAGGGUUGGGUACCCCGAAUCACAUUUACUUUAGAACAAGUUUUUUGAUUAUUUUGUUUCUAUUCUAAAUUUGUUGUGGAAAGUGUGGGAGGCAUAUACUACUACUAUACUAAUGUGAUAGUGUAAUAAAGUAAUGAUAGUCAUAUCAUAGAUCCACGGUCCACCUGUUGUAAUGCAUGAAAAUGGCUGAUGAUCUAGCAUGGGAUUUUUUGUCAAGUUUGUUGGUGUUGUCAAUAUUUUCUUAAUCCAAAAUCAUUUAUAUGUAUCUGAUACACCACGUGGGCAAAGAUUGGUUGAGUACUCUGUUUGGUGCAUCUGCCCCACACUUGUAAAGUUAUGAAUGUGAAUGUGUCCUUUUUGUUCGUUCCUAAUUGGGUGUUUUUCGAAAGUGUUUGCAAGUUGCAACCAGUUAUUGGAUGAGGUAUGGUGGUUGGAUUUGGGAUUAGAUGUUGAUACAUACUAAUUGGGUGUUUCUCUAAAGUGUUUCCAUGUAGUGCUUCUAAUUUCUAAUACUACUGGUAUUUAUUUUAAAAUCACGUAUAUCAGAAUUUAUUCGGGAUUUCACGUUUUUUUAUAUCACCACCUGGGUUUUAAAAAUUGACACUUAAACACCUGUAGUUGUCAGGUGAAGUGAAAAAUACGUUUCGAUCGGUCUUAACACUGUUACCUAAAGUGUGUAAAGACAAUUAUACUCUUUUUAAAAUAUUUUCUAUUUCUCGUUCAACCUUCAUCUACUCCAUUAGAACACCAUUCACCUUCAUCAACUCUAUUUUUCAGCCAAAAAAAUCAUCCAACUACGAUCCAAACUCAACCCCAGACCGUUGAAAACCAUUUAGUUUCCUACAGACAAUCAAAUCAUCCAUAAACAUCUUACAAUUCAUCACCAAACCUUAGAUAAACCAUGGUUCAUUCCUUGGUUUGCAUAACAUGAUAUUUUCAACAAAAAUCCAUUAAAACCUUAUGUAAUCCCUAAAUUAAAGCAUGCAAACCUUUAGGCUUUGUCCCUUAAUCAAAUUCGUGCACAAUCAACCGUAAGAAAACCAAAAACAGGAAAAAAAUUUCCAAAUAUUGACGGAAAACUUGUUCAAGCAAAUUUGUGCAAGAUUAAACCCACUUGCUUUUAAGCUCUAUCGGUCGAAAACUCGAGAAAACCUAACUUUUAGCCGACAAACUCCUUCAAUUUGAGUUCAAAAUUCACUGGGUUUUGUGCCUUUGCCAAAUAUGAUAAAAUGGUGUGGAAAUUGGUACCAAAACAUGCACAUCCAAAUCCCACAUGAAAAAACAGGUGGCGGCAGAUAGAUGCAAGCAAGGAUUCACCCAAAUUUGUAACUAAAAACAUGUACAUAAUUUUCUUCAUUGAGAUCAAUAUUAAUGAUAAAACUCAUCCUUGCACCAAAUCUGAUUUAGGUUGAAUUUGUACUUGUGUUCGUUUUGUGAAAAUCACUCCUUUCCUUGGUGAACAAGUUAUAUGGUUAGGCCAGCUUUGUGUACACAAGGUAGGCCUUUGGUUUAUGAAAACAUGCAGUUGUCACUUGACAUUUUUAAGUUAAAUGAAAGAAGGGAACCUGGAGAGAAGGUAGGUAGGUACCACUCACUGGCUGGCCUUGGAUUCCCUUAAGAAAAACCACCUUCCUCCUAUAUCCGCUGUGCCUGCCUGCCUGCCUGCCUGCCUGUGCAGAUAUUCUACUACUACCACUACUACUACUUUUUGUUGCAGCAGUGGGCAAUGGGUACCAUGUGACUGCCUGAGCAUUCUGGGCUGGCCUAUUUCAUAUUUCUGGUCUCCUAAUAAUAUCAUUGUCCUUCAUUUUGGCGUUUUCUUCUUUGGCGUCUUCCCUUCUUUCCAAUUUGUAUACUUAUCCCUUGACCUGAUGCGGU
rnacentral:lncRNA from 1 species